AUUGAACGCUGGCGGAAUGCUUUACACAUGCAAGUCGAACGAUGAACCUUAGCUUGCUAAGGGGAUUAGUGGCGAACGGGUGAGUAAUAUAUCUGAACGUGCCUUCUAAUGGGGGAUAACUAGUCGAAAGAUUAGCUAAUACCGCAUACGCCCUGAGGGGGAAAGAAGGGGAUCUUCGGACCUUACGUUAUAAGAGCGGCCGAUAUGUGAUUAGCUAGUUGGUGGGGUACGGGCCUACCAAGGCGACGAUCAGUAGCUGGUCUGAGAGGACGACCAGCCACAUUGGAACUGAAACACGGUCCGGACUCCUACGGGAGGCAGCAGUGGGGAAUUUUGGACAAUGGGCGCAAGCCUGAUCCAGCAAGUCCGCGUGAGUGAAGAAGGCCUUGGGGUUGUAAAGCUCUUUCGCAAGGGAAGAAAACUUUCCGUCGGAUAAAUGGUGAGGCUGACGGUACCUUGAUAAGAAGCACCGGCUAACUACGUG
rnacentral:rRNA from 1 species